rnacentral:tRNA from 2 species
GCCCAGGUGGUGGAACUGGUAGACACGCGGUCUUGAGGGGGCCGUGGGGCAACCCGUGUGGGUUCGAGUCCCGCCCUGGGCACCA